AUGCAGCGCCGCGACGACCCCGCUGCUCGUCUGGGCCGCGGGCCUGGCCCCGGCGGUGCCCGGCAAGGGGGUGCCCCGUCGCGGCGGCCGCCCCGAGGCGGGGGGGGCCGUGGGGCCAGUAGCGGGGCGCAGCCUCCGCCGCCGCUCCUGCAGUCCAAUGCCGCUGCGGCCGGCGCCUCUACCGGACAGGCCCCCGCCGCCGGCACCCCCGCCCCGCUGCUCUCCGGCGGCUCUGCCAAGAUGGAGCCUGAGAACAAGUACCUCCCUGAGCUGAUGGCCGAGAAGGACAGCCUGGACCCGUCCUUCACGCACGCCAUGCAGCUCCUCACCGCAGAAAUUGAAAAAAUUCAGAAGGGUGAAACAACAAAGAAGGAUGAUGAGGAGAACUACCUGGAUUUAUUUUCCCACAAGAAUAUGAAACUGAAAGAACGAGUUCUGAUACCUGUCAAACAGUACCCCAAGUUCAACUUUGUUGGAAAGAUUUUGGGACCUCAAGGCAAUACCAUCAAGAGGCUUCAGGAAGAAACUGGUGCUAAAAUAUCUGUCCUAGGAAAGGGUUCAAUGCGAGAUAAAGCAAAGGAGGAAGAACUGCGUAAAGGGGGAGAUCCUAAAUAUGCUCAUCUAAACAUGGAUUUGCAUGUCUUCAUAGAGGUUUUUGGCCCCCCUUGUGAAGCGUAUGCUCUGAUGGCUCACGCCAUGGAAGAAGUCAAGAAGUUCCUCGUUCCAGAUAUGAUGGAUGAUAUCUGUCAGGAGCAAUUCUUGGAGCUCUCCUAUCUGAACGGCGUACCGGACCCAGCCCGAGGCCGGGGAGUCCCUGUGAGGGGAAGGGGAACAGCCCCACCACCGCCUCCACCUGUCCCAAGGGGACGCGGGGUUGGUGUCCCCCCCCUGCCUCCUCCUCCUCGGGGGGCCCUCGUGCGAGGAGCCCCAGUGCGAGGUGCCAUUGCCCGGGGAGCUGCUGUAGCCCGCGGGGUGCCUCCCCCCCCAGCAGUACGGGGGGCUCCUGCACCCAGAGCACGAGCAGCCGGCAUUCAGAGAAUACCGCUUCCUCCUCCUCCUCCCGCACCAGAAGCCUAUGAGGAAUAUGGCUAUGAUGAUGCGUAUGCAGACCAGAGCUAUGAGGGGUAUGAAGGCUACUACGGCCAGGGCCAAGGGGACACAGAAUACUAUGAUUAUGGACACGGGGAGGCACAGGAAACCUAUGAAGCUUAUGGGCAAGAUGACUGGAAUGGAACAAGGCCCUCCCUGAAGGCCCCGCCGGCCAGGCCAGUGAAGGGGGCCUACAGAGAGCACCCAUACGGACGUUAUUAAAAAACAAACAUGAGGGAAAAAUAUCAGUUAUGAGCAAACAGUUGUUACUGAUUCUUGUAUCUCCCAGGAUUCCCGUUGCUUUACCCACACCAGACAAGAGUCAAGAGUGCAUCGUGCCGAAUCACUUGGGUGAGGAUGAGCAGGGGCACCAUGAAGUGGGCACAGCUUUUAUAUCAAGUGGAAAAGAUUUGAUAGAGAUCAUCUAUUACGAUGCAGUUUUUUACCAAUAGAAGUGGAUCUUGUGACACUGCUUUUGGAGUAACACAGCUGGGUUGUGCAUUGCGUUUGUUGCAUGUUUAUGUGGAAGACUUUCAUGCUAUGGAGGAACAUAAAUCUUAAUCUACUGAAAUAACUCUAUAUGGGAAAAGUAUUUUGAAAACAUGCCCUGCAUUAGACAUCUUCCUCCCUCUCAUAGCAUUCCUGCAUUUAGAUUUUAGCCUGGAGUCUGCAGAUGAUAAUUUGAUCAUUGAGGUCCCAAAAUAGCCAUUGGCACUGGAUGUAUCUCUUGGAGGUAAUCCAAUUAGCCAGGCAUUCCAGGGGUGAUCCAGGACUGAAAUUAGUCAGAGGUACAGAUUCCUUUGACUGCUGAAGGCUGAGUCACUUAAAUAACCUUCCCUUUUCUACUGUCACGUACCUAGUGGAGGAGGUAAUCUGGCUCUGAGCUCACGAGCACCAGUGAUCUUUCAUUUCCUGCUUUCCCCAAAGGGCUAAUCCAUAUCUUAUUAUUUGUAGUAUUUUGGUAAAGACCAUAAACAAGAUAAAGGCCCCCACUGUACUUGGUGCUGUGGGGUGUGAUGUACAGUAAUGGUCACCUCUCCUCUCUGGAAGGGUUUCCCAACAGUUCAGUUGUUUCCAAGAGACGCAGCUCUGGAAACACUCUCUUGCAGUGAGUGCUCUGUGCCUCCACAGUCCCAUCUCCUCUGGUCCAUGCUUCCAGCUCUUUGGUAUAAAUACUCGGGCUGGCCUUGCUUGGAGCUGCCGCAGACUUGGACUUGACUCUUGCUUGGUGAUAUCUCACCAUGCACAGUGCUUCAUAGUCAGUAUGUUGGGCAGCAACAGGAGUGGGAACCAGAGCUUGCAGGGAAAAACACUCCAACUGGUAUUAGAGGUAUCCCCCAGUGUCUUUUCCUGCAUGGAGGCUGUCAUUCCCUGCCUGUUCCUUAUGCCUGGUUUCAAGUUGCUGUUUGGAUUAUUAAAUAAAGCAAAUGGCUAUGAGCUUUAUUUUAUAA